rnacentral:rRNA from 1 species
GCUCCAAUGGCGUAUAUUAAAGUUUGUUGCAGUUAAAAAGCUCGUAGUUGGAUUUCUGGCGGGAGCGACCGGUCGGCCAUAGUGGUGUGUACUAGUGUUGCAUCCGGCCAUAUUUGCGGAGAGCGUGUGUGGCAUUAAGUUGUCGUGCUCGGGACCGCAUCGUUUACUGUGAGAAAAUUAGAGUGUUCAAAGCAGGCUUA